GCGAGCUCCUGGGUUCCACAGAGCCACACGGAGCUCCAGGCACUGGCAGCUCCGAUCGCGGGCACGUUCUGCACGGCGGCAGCACCAAACGCCCCGCAGGGUUACAGAGGCCACUGCUGCCCUGUAUUGAGCCCCUCCUGGAACAGCAGAGGAGACACGUUCCCUUUGGCACUUCUGCAUAUUUACCUGACAGGAGAAGCAACAAGGCAAGUGUCCCCUCCUCCCCUGAUUAUUUGGCUGAAGAAGCAGCAAGAGAAGGUGUCAUGAGGGAAACAUCACACCUCCUGAAGAGUAGGCGGUAACAGAGAGAGGCAAAGCAGCUUAAAACCAAGGACAUUUCCAUCCAUCUAGAAGGAGGAGCUAUGGAAAAGCACCACUCCACAACAGAACACGAACCCUGACAACUUAUCCAGCUGAGGCUGCAAAGAAAAUCAUACACAGUGUUGAGAAUGCUACUGACAACUCAAUAUUUGUUGAGUGGCACUGCUCAUGUGCAUGGCCUUUUGCUUAAUAAUUACUGAGAAUUAGUCUCCAAAAGCCUUUGGGACUGGAAAUCAGCAUUUUACAGAAAAUCACCAAUGGGAGACUGUAUUAAAAAAAGCAUGACAGUCAACUAAAACUGACUUGUAAUGUUUCUAAGGCUACAAGUACAUUUUUCAGUCUUUUUCAAGGUUUUUCGUUUGGUUGGUUGUCUGGUUUGGUUUCUGGGGUUUUUUUAAGACAUUAAGGAAUUAAUCAAAAGACUGAAAAAUAAGAAAGUGUGUAAGUUUUUGUGACAAUCUGGACAAUUUUAGGCCAUGACAACAUGGAAAAUUCUCCAAAGAGACCAUGAAAGGCUCCAGGGGGUUUGCCUGUGCUGCAAGAUGAUGGCAUAUUCCUAACACUGAUGUA